UCGAUGUUUAUUUUCACCAGGUGCCCCUCCCUACCCCCCCAACCAGUUCGGAGGUGGAAGAGGAAACUACGACAACUUCAGAGGACAAGGUGGCUACCUGGGCAAGCCACGCAACCUCAGGUGAGACUUCUGAUGUCUCGCGGUGAUCCACGAAACAUCGUUGAAUACCGUGACCUGGACGCCCCGGAUGAUAUGGACUUCUUUUAGGAUGUUCCCUCCGCUACCAGUCUUCACUCGUUACCAGUGUUGUGUUCUUGUUGCUUUUUGUGGUCAAUUUGAUUCUUUCCUUUCCCUUUUUAAUAUUUUGUUUUGUAAUUAUUGUGCAACAAGAACAAACUCCUGCUGUAAACUGGCUUCUAAAUAAAGUUGUGUUCAAGUAUUAA